rnacentral:rRNA from 1 species
GAGUGGCAGACGGGUGAGUAACGCGUGGGAAUCUACCCAACUCUACGGAACAACAGUUAGAAAUGACUGCUAAUACCGUAUACGCCCUCCGGGGGAAAGAUUUAUCGGAGUUGGAUGAGCCCGCGUUUGAUUAGCUAGUUGGUGAGGUAAUGGCUCACCAAGGCGACGAUCAAUAGCUGGUCUGAGAGGACGAUCAGCCACACUGGGACUGAGACACGGCCCAGACUCCUACGGGAGGCAGCAGUGGGGAAUAUUGGACAAUGGGGGAAACCCUGAUCCAGCCAUGCCGCGUGUGUGAUGAAGGCCCUAGGGUUGUAAAGCACUUUCAACGGUGAAGAUAAUGACGGUAACCGUAGAAGAAGCUCCGGCUAACUUCGUGCCAGCAGCCGCGGUAAUACGAAGGGAGCUAGCGUUGUUCGGAAUUACUGGGCGUAAAGCGCGCGUAGGCGGAUUAUUAAGUUAGGGGUGAAAUCCCGGGGCUCAACCCCGGAACUGCCCUUAAUACUGGUAAUCUAGAGAUCGAGAGAGGUGAGUGGAAUUCCGAGUGUAGAGGUGAAAUUCGUAGAUAUUCGGAGGAACACCAGUGGCGAAGGCGGCUCACUGGCUCGAUACUGACGCUGAGGCGCGAAAGCGUGGGGAGCAAACAGGAU